rnacentral:lncRNA from 1 species
CAUCUUGUUCAUUUAUAUUUUCCUGUGUUGUUGUGGUUUUCUUAUUAUUGAAGGUAUAAUAUAAUGCAUGCCACCAAGUUUGUUGUUUAUAGCUAUCAAAUUUGAAUAAUAAUUUACAUCUACAGGGCAUUGAUAAAACUCCCUUUAAAUUGCUCAAUGCCACUUAUUUGUCGUUCCCAUUUGUGCACCAAUCAUGGAAUUGUAAUCCAUUUAUCGUAGGUCUAUAAUGGAAUAAUGAACUAUGCUGCAACAAAAUAUUUGUACUCUCUCUGUUAUGUUUCCUAGGUUGGAGUGCUGAAUGAAGCUGGACAUAUAGAACGACUGUCUCUCUUCUCAAGAUAUGCCAUUUGGUAUAUGUUGUUGACUGACCCCUAUUUACUUGUGUGUUCACCUAGGUAGAUUGAGCUGAUCAAGUGUAUAAGAGCCCAUGGAGGUUGUCAUCUCUUUCCCAGCAUGAAGCUCGAUUGCUAGGAAGCACUAACACGAGGCAAAACGACAGAUAUUUUCAGUCUUGUACCAGCAAGAUGCUUGUUGGGCGAUGAUAAUUUCAGCCUUUACCACUUGGUCUUGCCGGCCAUGUACUAAAAAUGAUCUGUAUGGCUCAUGUACCCAAGUACUCAAAUGCUUGCUGAGCACUGAUAAUUUCAGUCCUUAAUUUGCUCUACUUCCAGUUUGACAUGUAUGCGUGGUUCUACUUGCCUCUUCGUGAUGUGUUCUCAUGUACUGAAAUGCUUGCCGAGCAGCUACAAUUUCAAUCAUUAGGUUGCUAUAUUUCCAGUUUGACAUGUAUGUGUGAUUCUACCUGAUCCAGGAUGGCUUAUUAUCCCAUGUGCUCAAAUAUUUGUUAUAUAUACGCUUGUUUCUUAGUGACCAAGAUGUUCAACUCUCUUGAAAAGUUAGUGGUGUAACAUAAAUGUGUCUGGAUUUUGUGCAGUAAAUAUUUGCUCAGAUUUUAUAUGAGACUAGUUG